GUGCCAGCAGCCGCGGUAAAACGCAGGCCACAAGCGUUGUCCCGGAAUUACUGGGUGUAAAGGGAGCGCAGGCGGGAAGACAAGUUGGGAGUGAAAAUCUAUGGGCUCAACCCAUAAACUGCUUUCAAAACUGUUUUUCUUGAGUAGUGCAGAGGUAGGCGGAAUUCCCGGUGUAGCGGUGGAAUGCGUAGAUAUCGGGAGGAACACCAGUGGCGAAGGCGGCCUACUGGGCACCAACUGACGCUGAGGCUCGAAAGUGUGGGUAGCAAACAGGAUUAGAUACCCUGGUAGUCC
rnacentral:rRNA from 1 species